CUGGGACCUUUCUGCUCCUUCCCUCCAGCCAAGGACCUCGCCUAGCUUCUUCCAGAGUUGUUCCAUAGGUCUACAAAGUGUGUGGAAAUCAUAAAUGAAGUUCUUGCUGAGGUCCUGAGCCAACAGAGAGCCAGAGCUGAAGACAUGUCCUCUUCUGGAAUGGUGCCACCAGCAUCUGAUUUCAUAUCCCAUGGUCUCAGGUUUAUGGUUUCUGCAUAGGCUGCCUGGGCUAAGCUACUAUCCGUCACAGCUGCCUCAGUUGCCACAGGAAUGGGCUCCUCUGGUGUUCAGCAUCAGACUGGAGCCGGUGGAGAAAGAAGAAUGUCAGCUGUGUCAAAUUCCAGGUUUAAGCCUUUAAACAGAUCCUUCUGCUUUCCCUGGGAACAGAGCCUUGGGAGAGGAGCUGAGGAGCAGCCCUGGAGGUGCCCAAGGAGGGAUGUUGACCUGAAGGCCUCCUGUGAGUGACCGUGGUUCCCCCAGCAGCAGUUCCGGGAUGUUGACGCUGUCCCACUUUCCCUCGGUGCCUGCAUGACUGUCCUGCAAAGACACCCAGAGGUUACUGAGCUGCAAGCCGGGAGAGAAGCCUGACUUCGACCCCGGGAACUUCUGGGGAGUGGAAUUUCCUGGGAAUUUCCUCCGAGCCACUGCUGGGAGGUCGGAGAGUUGCCCCUUGGAUUCCGGAGAGCUGCUGAAGGCUCGGCGUGGCCCGGAACCGCGUGUGAGCUCCCGGAGCUGUCCCUGGUCCUGCAGGGAAGAAAUGGCUUUUAAAGGCUGCCGGAGGGAGGAGGAAGCUGAAAUGCGGAGGGGAUGAAGCUUUUUUUUUUUUUUUGUCCUUUUGCGCCUCUUUUCUGGUUUUUAUCACUCAGGAGGUGUUUGGUCAGCUCCUGCCCCUCUCUGUGUGUUGGUUAAGGUGUGUCCUGCUCCAGGUUUUAGGUGAGUGCUUGAGGCAGGCAGCGCUUGGAGCUGAAAGGAUGAGGAGCUUUGCUGCCCCAGCAGGGCUCCUGGUGCUGCCUGUGGCUCAGGUGAGGAGGAGUUGCUCCCCUGGCAUCACCUCGCCUGGUGUCUCCAGGAUUUCUCCUCUCCUUCCAGCAGAGAGCAUUGCAGCAGUGCUGUUCAGCUUUUCCAGCUCCGCUCUCCUUGUUUUGCUCAGUGUGCUCUUGUUGAUUUUAUAUGUCUUUUUAAGGUGUUUUCAGUGGAUUUCUGUCAGGGAAAUAUUCACCAAGCACGUAAAGAACGGUGGGACUGUCCUGCCCAUAAGAAAUGCAAAGCUCCAGCUGAGUGUGGUGAGCAGGAGCUGCUGCCUCAGACAGACGAGGCUCUUCCAUUCCCCCUCUGGGAAUUCCUCCUCAGUGCAUUCCAGGGCUGGGCAUGGGGACAGGGAAGAGGGAUGGGGGGGAAAAAAGGGGGCAGGAUGUGGGGGCUGCUCCCAGGAGCCCCCCAGAGGGACAGAUGGCAAAUCAAAUGGUGUCCCAAAUGUGCUGAGUUCCUAUCUAUAUUUACGAAAAUUCCUCACUCUUCUGCAGGAAAUUCACUCGGUAUCUCAAAGCAUUUGGUGGAACUCCUGAGCUUCCACACAAACAGAGCUCUGGGGGCAGGGGGCUAUCCCCUCCUGCCCAGCCUUGGAUGCCAUCGCUCUGCCUUUCCAACCAGAAAUGUUUGUUCAAAUAGUUUGAUUUGUCUCUGCUGACUCACAGCUUAAUGGGAUUUUAAAUCUGUUUGUCUCAGUGCCUCGUUCCAGUCUCUGGGUGCUCCCUGGGACAAACUCCAGCAUCUUCCAAGGCAUCCAAGCCAGAGGGCAGGUCAAGGUCCAGGGCAUGGAAGAACCCGUCCUGCAGAGGGGAAGGAGGACAUGGAUGGAAGGAGCACGGAUGGUUCAGGCUCUGCAGGAACCUCUAUAAGGCAGCAGCUCAUAUCCCAGUUUUUUUCCACUUGAUUGCACUGUUUUUUUUAUGGAGGAAAAAACCCAAGUACUUUAUGUACUGUUAUUUUUUUUUAAUAGCUCAACACUGGCUGGAUCUUU